rnacentral:rRNA from 1 species
GAUGAACGCUGGCGGCGUGCUUAACACAUGCAAGUCGAACGGAAAGGCCCAAGCUUGCUUGGGUACUCGAGUGGCGAACGGGUGAGUAACACGUGGGUGAUCUGCCCUUCACUUCGGGAUAAGCUUGGGAAACUGGGUCUAAUACCGGAUAGGACCACAUUCUGGAUGGUGUGGUGGAAAGUUUUUCGGGGUGGGGUGAGCUUGCGGCCUUUCAGCUUUUUGGUGGGGUAAUGGCCUUCCAAGGCGUCGUCGGGUAGCCGGCCUGGGAGGGUGUACGGCCAAAAUGGGGCUGGGGUACGGCCCAGGCUCCUACGGGGGGGAGGAGGGGGGAAUAUUGGACAAAGGGGGCGAGCCUGAAGCAGCGACGGCGGGGGGGGGGUGACGGGCUUCGGGUUGUAAACUCCUUUCGCUAGGGACGGAGCGGUAUGUGACGGUACCUGGAGAAGAAGCACCGGCUAACUACGUG